GUUGGGUAGGGGAGCGUUCUGUAAGCCUGCGAAGGUGUACUGUGAGGUAUGCUGGAGGUAUCAGAAGUGCGAAUGCUGACAUAAGUAACGAUAAUGCGGGUGAAAAACCCGCACGCCGGAAGACCAAGGGUUCCUGUCCAACGUUAAUCGGGGCAGGGUGAGUCGACCCCUAAGGCGAGGCUGAAAAGCGUAGUCGAUGGGAAACGGGUUAAUAUUCCCGUACUGGUGGUAACUGCGAUGGGGGAACGGAGAAGGCUAGGUUGUCCGGGCGACGGUCGUCCCGGUUCAAGCAUGUAGGCAGAGUGAUUAGGCAAAUCCGGUCACUUAAUGCUGAGGUGUGAUGACGAACCACUAAGGUGGUGAAGCAAUUGAUGCCCUGCUUCCAGGAAAAGCCUCUAAGCUUCAGGUUACCAACAAUCGUACCCCAAACCGACACAGGUGGUCAGGUAGAGAAUACUCAGGCGCUUGAGAGAACUCGGGUGAAGGAACUAGGCAAAAUGGUGCCGUAACUUCGGGAGAAGGCACGCUGGCGGUAAGUGAAGUCCCUUGCGGACGGAGCCGAAGCCAGUCGAAGAUACCAGCUGGCUGCAACUGUUUAUUAAAAACACAGCACUGUGCAAACACGAAAGUGGACGUAUACGGUGUGACGCCUGCCCGGUGCUGGAAGGUUAAUUGAUGGGGUUAUCCUUAGGGAGAAGCUCUUGAUCGAAGCCCCAGUAAACGGCGGCCGUAACUAUAACGGUCCUAAGGUAGCGAAAUUCCUUGUCGGGUAAGUUCCGACCUGCACGAAUGGCGUAAUGAUGGCCAGGCUGUCUCCACCCGAGACUCAGUGAAAUUGAACUCGCUGUGAAGAUGCAGUGUACCCGCGGCAAGACGGAAAGACCCCGUGAACCUUUACUAUAGCUUGACACUGAACAUUGAGCCUUGAUGUGUAGGAUAGGUGGGAGACUAUGAAGUGUGGACGCCAGUCUGCAUGGAGUCAACCUUGAAAUACCACCCUUUAACGUUUGAUGUUCUAACCUAGGUCCAUAAUCUGGAUCGGGGACCGUGUCUGGUGGGUAGUUUGACUGGGGCGGUCUCCUCCUAAAGAGUAACGGAGGAGCACGAAGGUUGGCUAAGCAUGGUCGGACAUCAUGCGGUUAGUGCAAAGGCAUAAGCCAGCUUGACUGUGAGAGUGACGGCUCGAGCAGGUACGAAAGUAGGUCUUAGUGAUCCGGUGGUUCUGAAUGGAAGGGCCAUCGCUCAACGGAUAAAAGGUACUCCGGGGAUAACAGGCUGAUACCGCCCAAGAGUUCAUAUCGACGGCGGUGUUUGGCACCUCGAUGUCGGCUCAUCACAUCCUGGGGCUGAAGUAGGUCCCAAGGGUAUGGCUGUUCGCCAUUUAAAGUGGUACGCGAGCUGGGUUUAGAACGUCGUGAGACAGUUCGGUCCCUAUCUGCCGUGGGCGUUGGAAGAUUGAGAGGGGUUGCUCCUAGUACGAGAGGACCGGAGUGAACGCACCACUGGUGUUCGGGUUGUCAUGCCAAUGGCAUUGCCCGGUAGCUAAGUGCGGAAGAGAUAACCGCUGAAAGCAUCUAAGCGGGAAACUUGCCUCGAGAUGAGUCUUCCCUGUCACCUAGAGUGACCUAAAGGAACGUUUAAGACUAAGACGUUGAUAGGCUGGGUGUGUAAGCGUAGCGAUACGUUGAGCUAACCAGUACUAAUGAACCGUGAGGCUUAACCUG
rnacentral:rRNA from 1 species